GUGGGGAAUAUUGGACAAUGGGGGGAACCCUGAUCCAGCCAUGCCGCGUGUGUGAAGAAGGCCUUUUGGUUGUAAAGCACUUUAAGCGAGGAGGAGGCUACCGAGAUUAAUACUCUUGGAUAGUGGACGUUACUCGCAGAAUAAGCACCGGCUAACUCUGUGCCAGCAGCCGCGGUAAUACAGAGGGUGCAAGCGUUAAUCGGAUUUACUGGGCGUAAAGCGCGCGUAGGUGGCCAAUUAAGUCAAAUGUGAAAUCCCCGAGCUUAACUUGGGAAUUGCAUUCGAUACUGGUGGGCUAGAGUAUGGGAGAGGAUGGUAGAAUUCCAGGUGUAGCGGUGAAAUGCGUAGAGAUCUGGAGGAAUACCGAUGGCGAAGGCAGCCAUCUGGCCUAAUACUGACACUGAGGUGCGAAAGCAUGGGGAGCAAACAGGAUUAGAAACCCUAGUAGUCC
rnacentral:rRNA from 1 species